AACGAACGCUGGCGGCAGGCUUAACACAUGCAAGUCGAACGGUUGUAGCAAUACAGCAGUGGCAGACGGGUGAGUAACACGUGGGAACCUUCCUAGGGGGUACGGAACAACUCAGGGAAACUUGAGCUAAUACCGUAUACGUCCGUGAGGAGAAAGAUUUAUCGCCCUUAGACGGGCCCGCGUCGGAUUAGCUAGUUGGUGGGUAACGGCCUACCAAGGCGACGAUCCGUAGCUGAUCUUAGAGGAUGAUCAGCCACACUGGGACUGAGACACGGCCCAGACUCCUACGGAGGCAGCAGUGGGGAAUCUUGGACAAUGGGCGCAAGCCUGAUCCAGCCAUGCCGCGUGAGUGAAGAAGGUCUUCGGAUUGUAAAGCUCUUUUGCCAGGGACGAUAAUGACGGUACCUGGAGAAUAAGCCCCGGCAAACUUCGUGCCAGCAGCCGCGGU
rnacentral:rRNA from 1 species